rnacentral:tRNA from 1 species
GCCUUCGUGGUGUUGUGGUUAGCACGCUCGACGCGUAAUCGAGAGGUCCGUGGUUCGAUUCCCGGCAAAGAUA